GAUGAACGCUGGCGGCGUGCCUAACACAUGCAAGUCGAACGGAGAUUAGACGCUGACGAGACUUCGGUCAAAUCUUGUUUAAUCUUAGUGGCGGACGGGUGAGUAACGCGUGGGCAACCUGCCUCAUACUGGGGGAUAGCAGUUGGAAACGACUGAUAAUACCGCAUAAGCGCACAGCAUCGCAUGAUGCAGUGUGAAAAACUCCGGUGGUAUGAGAUGGGCCCGCGUCAGAUUAGCUAGUUGGUAAGGUAACGGCUUACCAAGGCGACGAUCUGUAGCCGGACUGAGAGGUCGGACGGCCACAUUGGGACUGAGACACGGCCCAAACUCCUACGGGAGGCAGCAGUGGGGGAUAUUGCACAAUGGAGGAAACUCUGAUGCAGCGACGCCGCGUGAGUGAAGAAGUAUUUCGGUAUGUAAAGCUCUAUCAGCAGGGAAGAAAGGCUCGUAAGAGAGCAUGACAGUAC
rnacentral:rRNA from 1 species